rnacentral:rRNA from 1 species
GGGUUGUGAGGUUAAGCGACUAAGCGUACACGGUGGAUGCCCUGGCAGUCAGAGGCGAUGAAGGACGUGCUAAUCUGCGAAAAGCGUCGGUAAGGUGAUAUGAACCGUUACAGCCGGCGAUGUCCGAAUGGGGAAACCCAGUGCAAUUCGUUGCACUAUCGUUAACUGAAUACAUAGGUUAACGAGGCGAACCGGGGGAACUGAAACAUCUAAGUACCCCGAGGAAAAGAAAUCAACCGAGAUUCCCCCAGUAGCGGCGAGCGAACGGGGAGCAGCCCAGAGUCUGAAUCAGCUUGUGUGUUAGUGGAACGGUCUGGAAAGUCCGACGGUACAGGGUGAUAGUCCCGUACACCAAAAUGCACAGGUUGUGAACUCGAAGAGUAGGGCGGGACACGUGGUAUCCUGUCUGAAUAUGGGGGGACCAUCCUCCAAGGCUAAAUACUCCUGACUGACCGAUAGUGAACCAGUACCGUGAGGGAAAGGCGAAAAGAACCCCGGCGAGGGGAGUGAAAAAGAACCUGAAACCGUGUACGUACAAGCAGUGGGAGCACCUUCGGGUGUGACUGCGUACCUUUUGUAUAAUGGGUCAGCGACUUAUAUUCUGUAGCAAGGUUAACCGUAUAGGGGAGCCGCAGGGAAACCGAGUCUUAACUGGGCGUUAAGUUGCAGGGUAUAGACCCGAAACCCGGUGAUCUAGCCAUGGGCAGGUUGAAGGUUGGGUAACACUAACUGGAGGACCGAACCGACUAAUGUUGAAAAAUUAGCGGAUGACUUGUGGCUGGGGGUGAAAGGCCAAUCAAACCGGGAGAUAGCUGGUUCUCCCGAAAGCUAUUUAGGUAGCGCCUCGUGAACUCAUCUUCGGGGUAGAGCACUGUUUCGGCUAGGGGGUCAUCCCGACUUACCAACCCGAUGCAAACUACGAAUACCGAAGAAUGUUAUCACGGGAGACACACGGCGGGUGCUAACGUCCGUCGUGAAGAGGGAAACAACCCAGACCGCCAGCUAAGGUCCCAAAGUCAUGGUUAAGUGGGAAACGAUGUGGGAAGGCACAGACAGCCAGGAUGUUGGCUUAGAAGCAGCCAUCAUUUAAAGAAAGCGUAAUAGCUCACUGGUCGAGUCGGCCUGCGCGGAAGAUGUAACGGGGCUAAACCAUGCACCGAAGCUGCGGCAGCGACACUAUGUGUUGUUGGGUAGGGGAGCGUUCUGUAAGCCUGCGAAGGUGUGCUGUGAGGCAUGCUGGAGGUAUCAGAAGUGCGAAUGCUGACAUAAGUAACGAUAAAGCGGGUGAAAAGCCCGCUCGCCGGAAGACCAAGGGUUCCUGUCCAACGUUAAUCGGGGCAGGGUGAGUCGACCCCUAAGGCGAGGCCGAAAGGCGUAGUCGAUGGGAAACAGGUUAAUAUUCCUGUACUUGGUGUUACUGCGAAGGGGGGACGGAGAAGGCUAUGUUAGCCGGGCGACGGUUGUCCCGGUUUAAGCAUGUAGGCUGGUUAUCCAGGCAAAUCCGGAUAAUCAAGGCUGAGGUGUGAUGACGAGGCACUACGGUGCUGAAGUAACAAAUGCCCUGCUUCCAGGAAAAGCCUCUAAGCAUCAGGUAACAUCAAAUCGUACCCCAAACCGACACAGGUGGUCAGGUAGAGAAUACCAAGGCGCUUGAGAGAACUCGGGUGAAGGAACUAGGCAAAAUGGUGCCGUAACUUCGGGAGAAGGCACGCUGGUGUGUAGGUGAAGUCCCUGCGGAUGGAGCUGAGACCAGUCGAAGAUACCAGCUGGCUGCAACUGUUUAUUAAAAACACAGCACUGUGCAAACACGAAAGUGGACGUAUACGGUGUGACGCCUGCCCGGUGCCGGAAGGUUAAUUGAUGGGGUUAUCCGUAAGGAGAAGCUCUUGAUCGAAGCCCCGGUAAACGGCGGCCGUAACUAUAACGGUCCUAAGGUAGCGAAAUUCCUUGUCGGGUAAGUUCCGACCUGCACGAAUGGCGUAAUGAUGGCCAGGCUGUCUCCACCCGAGACUCAGUGAAAUUGAACUCGCUGUGAAGAUGCAGUGUACCCGCGGCAAGACGGAAAGACCCCGUGAACCUUUACUAUAGCUUGACACUGAACAUUGAGCCUUGAUGUGUAGGAUAGGUGGGAGGCUUUGAAGCGUGGACGCCAGUCUGCGUGGAGCCAACCUUGAAAUACCACCCUUUAAUGUUUGAUGUUCUAACGUUGGCCCCUGACCGGGGUUGCGGACAGUGUCUGGUGGGUAGUUUGACUGGGGCGGUCUCCUCCCAAAGCGUAACGGAGGAGCACGAAGGUUAGCUAAUCCUGGUCGGACAUCAGGAGGUUAGUGCAAUGGCAUAAGCUAGCUUGACUGCGAGCGUGACGGCGCGAGCAGGUGCGAAAGCAGGUCAUAGUGAUCCGGUGGUUCUGAAUGGAAGGGCCAUCGCUCAACGGAUAAAAGGUACUCCGGGGAUAACAGGCUGAUACCGCCCAAGAGUUCAUAUCGACGGCGGUGUUUGGCACCUCGAUGUCGGCUCAUCACAUCCUGGGGCUGAAGUAGGUCCCAAGGGUAUGGCUGUUCGCCAUUUAAAGUGGUACGCGAGCUGGGUUUAGAACGUCGUGAGACAGUUCGGUCCCUAUCUGCCGUGGGCGCUGGAGAAUUGAGGGGGGCUGCUCCUAGUACGAGAGGACCGGAGUGGACGCAUCACUGGUGUUCGGGUUGUCAUGCCAAUGGCACUGCCCGGUAGCUAAAUGCGGAAGAGAUAAGUGCUGAAAGCAUCUAAGCACGAAACUUGCCCCGAGAUGAGUUCUCCCUGAGACUAUAAGUCUCCUGAAGGAACGUUAAAGACGAUGACGUUGAUAGGCCGGGUGUGUAAGCGCAGCGAUGCGUUGAGCUAACCGGUACUAAUGAACCGUGAGGCUUAACCUUACAACGCCGAAG